rnacentral:sRNA from 1 species
UCACCUUUGCUGAUGCCAUGUUGAUGGACAACUAGAACGCAGAUCCUGCCACGUGAUCCCUUCCUCCUGUGUUAGCGCCUGCCUCCAGCACCCUGAAGAUGCGGUGUGAUAUGUCCUCCUUACCAAGUUGGUGAUGGCUGCCUCAUGGUGGGCCCUGGACACGUGCGUGGUCCUGCUGAGCUGUCCACGUGUCCGAAGACCUGUUUAAGACAGUCAUUUUUGCCUCUCCGCCAACUGUCUUCAGAGAAACCAUUAGGUUAGGUGAUACGGUGCCAGCAAGGGAAGCACCAUUGUCCAGGAUCUGCAAAUCUGGUUCCUGGGAUCCCCAGACUCCUCAGCAGAUCUGGCUGUACAUGGAUUAGAACCACUUCUUCCCCCGCUUAAGCUGUGGUUUGACCCAAGAGUCAUAGGACUGCCUGCUGCAUUUAAUGAAGGUGUUUCCUUUUGGAAGUCUGUGCUACCCUCUGUGCCUAGUUGGGAGGAGACAUCCGUCUGGUCCGGGGUUUCGGGAGUUAGAAUGGAAAGCCCUUUGCUAAAGACUGG